UGUAUGAAAUCUUUGGUGUUUUCGACCGUUCUCCUCCGAGACCUCCACCAGUACCGCCCCGGCCGCCGUCGAAUCGUGAUAGCGUGAAAGUAUAGAAACAAGAAACGACCCAAUUCCGAUCCCUCUCAAGCUCUUCAUUUUUUAUGCAAUCCAUAGUUUUUGUCCAUUUUCAAACCUCACACGUUCUUUAUUUUUUCAACGUAAUCACCGCCAUUUUCAGCAGGAAGUUCGCACCCCUAUAUACCGAAUUUGAUAAAAUUCCUAUUUUUUCCUUCUUUCUCGAUUCUGGCUUCAUAAAGCAGACGUGGGAUUGAGCCAGCCAGCCAGGUGUGGAUUUACUGAAUUUGAUGUUUGAAGAUUUUAAUUGAACUGGUUAUUUUUAUCGAAUGGCUAAAUGGCUACUCUUCUCGACUUUACCGCUUGGAAGCCUGCUAUUGUCAUUUGUUAUCCGACUCUUCUCAGCCAUAAUCAAUUGCCGGAGGAACAGGAAGAAAGCUGUGGGAUUCUUCCAUCCUUACACAAAUGAUGGCGGUGGAGGUGAGCGAGUUCUCUGGUGCGCCGUCAAAGCAAUCCAAGAAGAAUCACCCGAUCUUGACUGCGUCAUCUAUACCGGUGAUCAUGAUGCCUCCCCUAAAUCCCUCUCUGCCCGAGCCCUCGAUCGUUUUGGGGUCAAAUUACUCCACUCUCCGAAGGUGGUGCAUCUUUAUAAGAGGAAAUGGGUUGAAGAAACCAUGUAUCCUCGAUUCACUAUGAUUGGUCAGAGCUUUGGUUCAGUGUACCUUUCAUGGGAAGCUUUGUGCAAGUUUACUCCUUUGUAUUAUUUAGAUACCAGUGGAUAUGCAUUUACUUAUCCCAUAGCGCGGUUGUUUGGAUGCAAAGUUAUUAGCUACACACAUUACCCGACAAUCAGUUUAGACAUGCUAACUCGUGUUCAUGCACAAAAUUCUAUGUACAACAAUGAUGCUUCCAUUGCUAAGAGUGCACUGCUGUCAUGGUGCAAAGUCAUCUAUUACAUGAUUUUCAGCUGGAUGUAUGGAAUUGUAGGCUCAUGUGCACACAUUGCAAUGGUGAAUUCCUCAUGGACAAAAUCCCACAUUGAAAAGCUUUGGGGAAUUCCAGCUCGUAUUAAGCUAGUUUAUCCUCCGUGUGAUACUUCCAGGCUUCAGGUGCUACCAUUAGAAAGGCCAAUGCAACCACCAAAGAUUAUAUCUGUCGCUCAAUUUCGUCCAGAGAAGGCACACCCCCUUCAACUUGAGGCAUUUGCAGUUGCUGUAAAAAAUUUAGAUGCAGAUCUGCCCAGACCAAAGCUCCAAUUUGUAGGUAGUUGCAGAAAUGAAGCAGAUGAGAAAAGAUUGCAACACCUCAGGGAUCGAGCUAAUGAGCUGAAAGUGGAAGGUGAUGUGGAGUUCCAUAAAAAUGUGUUGUACAGAUAUAUACUUUUUGGGUUGCUGCAGCGAGCUGGUGAAACUCUUGGGAGGUGCAGCUGUGGGAAUUCACUCCAUGGUAGAUGAGCAUUUUGGCAUAAGCGUAGUGGAGUACAUGGCUUCUGGUGCCAUACCAGUUGCCCAUAAUUCAGCUGGCCCAAAGAUGGACAUUGUCUUACCAGAAGAAGGAACGCAAACAGGAUUUCUAGCUCAGAGUGUGCAAGACUAUGCAGAUGCUAUCCUCAAAAUCAUGACAAUGCCUGAAACAGAGCGGCUUGAGAUGGCUGCUGCUGCUAGGAGACGAGCUUUGAGGUUCUCCAAACGAAGAUUUUCUGAAGAUUUCAAGGCCGCUAUCCGACCAAUCUUGUUUCAUGCCUCUAGAUGAUCUAAAACUAUAUUUGUCACACGUAAAAAGAUCAAGACAAACACAUUCUGGGAGUUCAUCUUUAAAUGAUCCUUAACAGAAGAGAGCUCUAAUGAGUGCUAUGGAUAAUACACUGCUCCUCCCUCGAACAGAUUGGUUAUGCAUAUGGAAAACUGAAGUUAGAUGUAUGUUGUGAUGGUGAAGCUGAGUUUAUAUUAAUGUUGAAAGAGCUGACAGCAAACAGGUUAGACUGGCAUUAUUGAAUGCUCAUAUACACAUAUUUAAAGGAUGAAUGUGAAUACUAAAUUUAUGAAUU